GCACCAUUAGCUCAGCUGGAUAGAGUGCGCCCCUCCGGAGGGCGAGGUCGCAGGUUCGACUCCUGCAUGGUGCGCCA
rnacentral:tRNA from 2 species